rnacentral:rRNA from 1 species
UACAGAGGUCUCAAGCGUUGUUCGGAUUCAUUGGGCGUAAAGGGUGCGUAGGCGGUAAGGUAAGUCGGAUGUGAAAUCCCGGGGCUCAACCCCGGAACUGCAUUCGAUACUGCUUUACUUGAGGACUGGAGAGGAGAUUGGAAUUCACGGUGUAGCAGUGAAAUGCGUAGAUAUCGUGAGGAAGACCAGUGGCGAAGGCGAAUCUCUGGACAGAUCCUGACGCUGAGGCACGAAGGCUAGGGGAGCAAACGGG